GGUGGUGGUAACUGUUUCAGACAAAGUGCUUUAUCAAGUAAUAAAGUAGUGUCUAUACUGAGUGAGUGAGGCAGGCAUCGAGUGAGUGAGGCAGGCAUCGAGUGAAUGAGGCAGGCAGGCAUCGAGUGAAUGAGGCAGGCAGGCAUCGAGUGAAUGAGGCAGGCAGGCAGUGAGUUAGUGAGUGAGGCAGGCAGUGAGUUAGUGAGUGAGGCAGGCAGUGAGUUAGUGAGUGAGGCAGGCAGUGAGUUAGUGAGUGAGGCAGGCAGUGAGUUAGUGAGUGAGGCAGGCAGUGAGUUAGUGAGUGAGGCAGGCAGUGAGUGAGUGAGUGAGGCAGUGAGUGAGUGAGGCAGGCAGGCAUCGAGUGAGUGAGGCAGGCAGGCAGUGAGUGAGUGAGGCAGGCAGUGAGUGAGGCAGGCAGGCAGUGAGUGAGGCAGGCAGGCAGUGAGUGAGGCAGGCAGUGAGUGAGGCAGGCAGUGAGUGAGGCAGGCAGUGAGUGAGGCAGGCAGUGAGUGAGGCAGGCAGUGAGUGAGUGAGGCAGGCAGGCAGGCAUCGAGUGAGUGAGUGAGGCAGGCAGGCAGGCA
ensembl:lncRNA